CUUCGCUGAGGUGAGAUAUGGUACUGUUCGACGAUUUGAGAGAUAACGAGUGGGGCGCUGGUUGAGGCGUUGUUCUGUUCCGAGCCGGCGCGCAGCGAACGGCGCGGUCGGUCGUCAACGCCGUGCUGUGGGUGUUGUCCACGGGUGAAGG
rnacentral:tRNA from 1 species